UAUAGUAUGAAUUAUCCAUCGAGGGAGC
rnacentral:sRNA from 1 species